AGAGUUUGAUCAUGGCUCAGGACGAACGCUGGCGGCGUGCCUAAUACAUGCAAGUCGAGCGGAUGACGGAGAGCUUGCUCUCCUGAUUCAGCGGCGGACGGGUGAGUAACACGUGGGCAACCUGCCUGUAAGAUCGGGAUAACUCCGGGAAACCGGGGCUAAUACCGGAUGGUUCCUUCCUCCGCAUGGAGGAAGGCGGAAAGACGGUUUCGGCUGUCACUUACAGAUGGGCCCGCGGCGCAUUAGCUAGUUGGUGGGGUAAUGGCCUACCAAGGCAACGAUGCGUAGCCGACCUGAGAGGGUGAUCGGCCACACUGGGACUGAGACACGGCCCAGACUCCUACGGGAGGCAGCAGUAGGGAAUCUUCCGCAAUGGACGAAAGUCUGACGGAGCAACGCCGCGUGAGCGAAGAAGGCCUUCGGGUCGUAAAGCUCUGUUGUAAGGGAAGAACAAGCAUCGGUUAACUGCCGGUGCCCUGACGGUACCUUACCAGAAAGCCACGGCUAACUACGUGCCAGCAGCCGCGGUAAUACGUAGGUGGCAAGCGUUGUCCGGAAUUAUUGGGCGUAAAGCGCGCGCAGGCGGUCCUUUAAGUCUGAUGUGAAAGCCCACGGCUCAACCGUGGAGGGUCAUUGGAAACUGGGGGACUUGAGCGCAGAAGAGGAAAGCGGAAUUCCACGUGUAGCGGUGAAAUGCGUAGAGA
rnacentral:rRNA from 1 species